rnacentral:rRNA from 1 species
UACGUAGGGGGCAAGCGUUGCCCGGAAUCAUUGGGCGUAAAGCGCGCGUAGGCGGCCCGGUAAGUCCGUUGUGAAAGUCAAAGGCUCAACCUUUGAACGCCGAUGGAUACUGCCGGGCUAGAGUCCGGAAGAGGCGAGUGGAAUUCCUGGUGUAGCGGUGGAAUGCGCAGAUAUCAGGAGGAACACCGGUGGCGAAGGCGGGUCUCUGGGCCGAUACUGACGCUGAGGAGCGAAAGCGUGGGGAGCGAACAGG